rnacentral:rRNA from 1 species
GUUCUCCUACGGGGGGCAGCAGUAGGGAAUCUUCCACAAUGGACGAAAGUCUGAUGGAGCAACGCCGCGUGAGUGAAGAAGGUUUUCGGCUCGAAAAGCUCUGUUGGUAGUGAAGAAAGAUAGAGGUAGUAACUGGCCUUUAUUUGACGGUAAUUACUUAGAAAGUCACGGCUAACUACGUGCCAGCAGCCGCGGUAAUACGUAGGUGGCAAGCGUUAUCCGGAUUUAUUGGGCGUAAAGCGAGCGCAGGCGGUU